rnacentral:rRNA from 1 species
UGGUGGAGUGAUUUGUCUGGUUGAUUCCGAUAACGAGCGAGAUCUCUGCCUCUAACUACGUGGCUGCGUCGUAUUCGUACAGCUUUUUCUCGUGGCCGCCUGUGCGUCUUCGGGCGUAACGGGCCUGAGAUGGCUGGAGAUGCAGUGUUAUUUGACUUCUCAGAGGUGCCAUGCGCGCUUACCAAGCGCAUGUAUGCAAGAGUCGA